UUUCGGAUGCUGACGCUCUCUUCCUGUCUUUGUGGCUCCGGAAAGGCGUUUGGGAUGCCAACGAUGAGGCUGCUGUCAUUUGUGGUGUUGGCUCUAUUUGCUGUCACUCAAGCAGAGGAAGGAGCCAGGCUUUUGGCUUCCAAAUCACUGCUGAACAGAUACGCCGUGGAGGGACGAGACCUGACCUUGCAGUACAACAUCUACAAUGUUGGCUCAAGUGCUGCAUUAGACGUGGAACUAUCUGAUGAUUCCUUCCCUCCAGAAGACUUUGGCAUUGUGUCUGGAAUGCUCAAUGUCAAAUGGGACCGGAUUGCCCCUGCUAGCAAUGUCUCCCACACUGUGGUCCUGCGCCCUCUCAAGGCUGGUUAUUUCAACUUCACCUCGGCAACAAUUACUUACCUGGCCCAGGAGGAUGGGCCCGUUGUGGUGAGUUGCCCAAACCCUUAGCUGGAUGGAAUUUGGAUCUGCCUUCCCUUAAAAUCUCUUGUGGUGGGGGUAAGAGGGGGAUGAAGAGAGGUUGAUUAAUAGAUACCAAAAUACAGUUAGGGCUGGGCGCAGUGGCUCACACCUGUAAUCUAGCAUUUUUGGAGGCCGAGAUGGGCAGAUCACCUAAGGUCAGGAGUUCAAGACCAGCCUGGCCAACAUGCAGAAGCCCCAUCUCUACUACAAAUAAAAAAAUUAGCUGGGCGUGGUGGCAGGCGCCUCUAAUCCCAGCUACUUGGGAGGCUGGAGCAAGAGAAUCACUUGAACCCAGGAGGCAGAGGUUGCAGUGAGCCGAGAUCACACUACUGCACUUCAGCCUGGGCGACAGAGUGAGACUCCGUCUCAAAAAAUAUAUAUAUAUAGUUAGAAAGAAUAAGACCUAGUGUUCGAUAGUUUAGUAGGGUGACUAUAGUUAACAGUAAUCUAAUGUAUAUUUCAAAAUAGCCAGAUGAGAAGCAUUUGAACAUUUCCAUCAUAAAGAAAAGAUAAAUGCGGCCAGACGUGGUGGCUCACGCCUGUAAUCCCAGUACUUUGGGAGGCCAAGGCAGGUGGAUUGCUUGAGCCCAGGAGUUGGAGACCAGCCUGGGCAACAUGGUGAGACCCCCAUUUCAAAUAAUUAGCCAGGCAUGGUGCACGCGCCUGUGAUCCCAGGUACUCAGGAGGCUGAGGUGGGAGGAUUGCUUGAGCCCCAGAGGUUGAGGCUGCAGUGAGCCAUUUUAUUGCCACUGCAUUCCAGCCUGGGCAAAAGAGUGAGACCCUGUCUCAAAAAAAAGAUAAAUGUUUAAGGUGAUGGAUAUCCAUCUAAAAAGUAUAGAUUGUAAAAACAAAAACCUCUUACAGAAAAUUUACACAGUAGCUACUAAAUUCUGAGGGAGAUAACAUUAACCAGACACUUGGUAUUGUCCUAAGGAAGUGUGUUUCAAAUUAAAGUUCUGGACUAGAGUGAUUGAAAUGGAUGGGCGAGGUGUACCAUGGCCUUCCCCUCCUCUUCAUUCCUUCUGCCUUCCUUUUCAUCUGGAGUGUGUCAUUUGCUGCCUACUGAUGUCCUUGUCUUUCUGAUCUGUCUUCUCUGCCACUGUCAGAUUCUUCCCAGUCUCCACUGUUACUCUCUCCUUCCCUUGCUUAGAUUGCUCCUGCUUACGGCAUCAGGGCUGAGCUUUUCUGCCUCUCACUGCACCCCCCUCCAGUAGUCUAGCUAUUUUCUGCCUCCAGCCUUCUCUCCCACUCUGCCCAUACAGACCCUACAUCCUAAUUAGGCCAAGCUACUUCCCAUACCUUCUCCCCCAACUCAGUCCUUAUUCUUUCCUUUGUGCCUUUGUUCUGUUUGAAGUACCCUUUUCCCUCCACUCCAUUAUAUCUGAAGCCUUCUCAAGACCCAGCUUUGAGCUAUGUCUCCUUGUUUUCUGCCUUCAGUUCAUAUUGCUGUUUGCUAUUCAUUCUUUUCUUUUUUUCUUUUUUUUUUUUUUGAGACAGAGUCUCACUCUGUCACCGAGGCUGCAGUGCAGUAGCACAAUCUUGGCUCACUGCAACCUCCACUUCCCGGGUUCAAGCGAUUAUCUGCCUCAGCCUCCCGAGUAACUAGGACAACAGGUGUGUGCCACCGUGCCCGGCUACUUUUUUAUAUUUUUAGUAGAAAUGGGGUUUCACCAUAUUGGCCAAGCUGGUCUCCAACUCCUGACCUGUGAUCCGCCCGCCUCGGCCUCCCAAAGUACUGGGAUUACAGGCGUGAGCCACCGUGCCCGGCCACUAUUCAUUCUUUCAUAAACAUAUAUUGAUUGCAUCUAAACUUCAGUAGCACUUAUAGUCUAUGGCACUUGAACAUUUAAUCACUGUCUUCAGUAGUUUGUUUCUUAUUUAUAGAUCUUCCUUCUCCCCCCCCCACCUCCCAAUUUAAUUAUAAACUCCCUGAGGCCAGUAACUGUCUUAGAUUUCUGUUUCCCCAUAUAUGAUAGAAACUCAGUAGUAAACAGUCUUUUGAUUGAUUGAUGUAAAGGUCAAUAGACAUUUAUGAAGCCCCUGAAAUGUGCCAGACUCUGGGGAAUACCAAGAGGAUUAAUAUACUGUCCAAGUCCUCAAAAAGCUUAAGUCAUAAAUGUAUAAAGCCAAAUAAAUGUAUAAAUUUAUGAAGCCAAAAUGUGUGAUCCUCCAUACCAGUAGGGCUGUAGGCUAAUUAGUACACAGUAGGGAAGGGACUUAACACAGUCAACCAUAGAAUGAAAAGAACUAACAUUCAUUGCACCUUCUGCAUUUUCGUUUUUCAUAAACUACAUGGAACCAUAUUCUUCUAAACCUAGCGGUGUUUUCACAUCCGGUAUCAUUUCUGCUUUCAGAACCAACCUCAGGACUCUUUGGUUCUACCUGGUAGUUGAUGGGUUAAUAGACAUAAAAUCAAAGGCUUAGCUGCCACUUUGGAAUAAAGUUGUUUGCAGUGUGCUCCAAACUCUUGGCUUCCUCUCCAAGACAAAGGAAUGUGGACCAGACUCAACCCCUCCUCUAAUAAUGUACAUUUGGGUAGAGCUUUAUACUUCAUUAUAUAUUUUUGCUAUUUCAUUUGAGCCUCACAUUAACCCUGUGAAGUAGUGGAUUUUUGCUGGAGGAUUAAGUAAAUGAUUACCAAGGGUAAGUCAUUCCACGCACACCUUGCGCUGUAGAGGGGCCAGUGGUGGUGAGCAACUUCACUCUUUGCAGAGUCUGAGGCUCAGACAGAAGAAUUUGGCUUUAAUUUCAUUUGCAUGCCUGGCCUACCUUGUUUAAUAUAUGUUCUCCAUGGGGUAUUUCUCAGGUCUUCUGGCUCCUAGGUACUCCUCUUUAUAACACACUAAGAGAGAAUCAUCCAACUCUCUCUAGCCAAAAGCUUUCCCUCAUCUUCUUGAAGUUCUCCUGAGCCUUUGGGAACUAAGACUCUAAUGCAUAGAGUGGGGUUGGUUGGGACUGCCCUUUCUCAGAGUAGAUGAGGUAGAACUUCAUGAGGUGGACUUGCCUUAAUGUCGUUCUUUUCUUCUUUUCAGAUUGGCUCUACCAGUGCACCUGGACAGGGAGGAAUCCUGGCUCAGCGGGAGUUUGACAGGCGAUUCUCCCCUCAUUUUGUAAGCUUUCUAGUGUUCUCUCUCAUCAGUCCCUUGGUAUGAGAAUGCCCUUUUGGUUCUGGACCCUCUUGGCUUCCACAGACUUGUUUUGUUGGUUGGUUCUUGCCCUGUCUGUUUUUUGGUGUCUGAUAUAGAUACUCAUCAAAUAGAUUGAUUUAGCCACGUCCAGAGAUUUUUGGCAAUGAGAUCACAAUUGCCAAAACCAUAAAACUGACUUAAGUAGAGUCCCAUCUUUGAGUAGAUACCCAUCUUAAACUCCUGGGUCUAUUUUGAGGUUUAAAAAAAAAAAUCUGAUUAGAUUCAGAGGGUCAUAGAUCAUUGGGUAGGGUAAGUGGGAACUUUACUGUGGUCUAGUCUAGGAAAUAAUUUUUUGAAGAUGAGCCUGAAGUACUGAAUGCUGGAAUUCAUUCAGUGAAUAAGUAUGAUGUUCCAGAUUAUGUGCUCAUUCUGUGCUCUGCUUUGGGGACACAGUGAUGAAUAAGACACAGUCCCUUCCAUUAAAGAUCUUACAGGCUGGCGAGGCACCAUGGCUCAUGCCUGUAAUCCCAGUGCUUUGGGAGGCAGAGGCGAGAGGACCACUUGCGGCCAAGAGUUUGAGGCUGCAGUGAGCCAUGAUCACACCACUGCACUCUAGCCUGGGUGACACAGCAAAACCCUGCCUCUGAAAAUAACAAGAUCUUACGAGCUCAUAGAGGACUCAAAAUAGGUAAAUGGGGAGGCUGAGGCAGGGGAAUUGCUUGAGCCCGGGAUGCGGAGGUUGCAGUGAGCCAAGAUCGAGCCACUGCACUCUAGCUGCCUGGACAACAAGAGCGAAACGCUGUCAAAAAAAAAAAUGGUAAAUGGGGAAAAUGCCAUGAUAGAGGUUAUAUGCCAGGUGCUGGAGGAGCCUGCAGCAGGAACAUCUAAUGAGGGGACUUUCUGGAGGAGGUAAGGAAGGGCAGGCACUUGAGGAGAGAGAGCAGCCGAGAUUGAGAAAAGCAUGGUGUGAUUCAGGAAUGGCAAGUAGUUUAUCAAGGCUGAAGGGCAGAAUGUGAGGUGGAGGAAUGGAAAAGAGGGGGCCUGAAGUGUAAACAAGGGUUAGAUCAUAGGUGGCUUGACUGUCGGGCAAGACCAGGGCAUCUCCAUUCUCAAAAAUUGUCUGGAACAGAAGCUUCUCUUCCAGUCUGGUUUGGGUCAGGUGAGUCCUUUGGUUUCACAGCUUGAAAGAUUGGUCUUUAGAGAGCCAUUCUAUAUCAGGAUUGGUCAGAGAGGAACCUUCUUGCCUAAAGUUCUGCUUAAAAUUUGUGCUGAGUUAGGCCUGGUGGUGUGUACCUAUAAUCUCUGCUGGAGGAUCGCUUGAACCCAGGAGUUUGAGGCUGCAGUGAGCUAUGAUUGCGCCACUGCACUCCAACCUGAGCAACAGAGUGAGACUCUAUCUCUAAAAAAAUAAAAUAAAAAUUAAGAAAAUUUAGGCUGGGUGUUGUGGCUCACACCUGUAAUUCCAGCACUUUGGGAGGUCAAGGCAGGAGAAUCACUUGAGCCCAGGAGUUUGAGACCAGCUUGGGCAACAUAGUGAUAUUUUGCCUCUACAAAAAAUAAAAAAAAAAAA
rnacentral:sRNA from 1 species